GGUUAAGCGACUAAGCGUACACGGUGGAUGCCCUGGCAGUCAGAGGCGAUGAAGGACGUGCUAAUCUGCGAUAAGCGUCGGUAAGGUGAUAUGAACCGUUAUAACCGGCGAUUUCCGAAUGGGGAAACCCAGUGUGUUUCGACACACUAUCAUUAACUGAAUCCAUAGGUUAAUGAGGCGAACCGGGGGAACUGAAACAUCUAAGUACCCCGAGGAAAAGAAAUCAACCGAGAUUCCCCCAGUAGCGGCGAGCGAACGGGGAGCAGCCCAGAGCCUGAAUCAGUGUGUGUGUUAGUGGAAGCGUCUGGAAAGGCGCGCGAUACAGGGUGACAGCCCCGUACACAAAAAUGCACAUAUUGUGAGCUCGAUGAGUAGGGCGGGACACGUGGUAUCCUGUCUGAAUAUGGGGGGACCAUCCUCCAAGGCUAAAUACUCCUGACUGACCGAUAGUGAACCAGUACCGUGAGGGAAAGGCGAAAAGAACCCCGGCGAGGGGAGUGAAAAAGAACCUGAAACCGUGUACGUACAAGCAGUGGGAGCCUCUUUUAUGGGGUGACUGCGUACCUUUUGUAUAAUGGGUCAGCGACUUAUAUUCUGUAGCAAGGUUAACCGAAUAGGGGAGCCGAAGGGAAACCGAGUCUUAACUGGGCGUUAAGUUGCAGGGUAUAGACCCGAAACCCGGUGAUCUAGCCAUGGGCAGGUUGAAGGUUGGGUAACACUAACUGGAGGACCGAACCGACUAAUGUUGAAAAAUUAGCGGAUGACUUGUGGCUGGGGGUGAAAGGCCAAUCAAACCGGGAGAUAGCUGGUUCUCCCCGAAAGCUAUUUAGGUAGCGCCUCGUGAAUUCAUCUCCGGGGGUAGAGCACUGUUUCGGCAAGGGGGUCAUCCCGACUUACCAACCCGAUGCAAACUGCGAAUACCGGAGAAUGUUAUCACGGGAGACACACGGCGGGUGCUAACGUCCGUCGUGAAGAGGGAAACAACCCAGACCGCCAGCUAAGGUCCCAAAGUCAUGGUUAAGUGGGAAACGAUGUGGGAAGGCCCAGACAGCCAGGAUGUUGGCUUAGAAGCAGCCAUCAUUUAAAGAAAGCGUAAUAGCUCACUGGUCGAGUCGGCCUGCGCGGAAGAUGUAACGGGGCUAAACCAUGCACCGAAGCUGCGGCAGCGACGCUUAUGCGUUGUUGGGUAGGGGAGCGUUCUGUAAGCCUGUGAAGGUGUGCUGUGAGGCAUGCUGGAGGUAUCAGAAGUGCGAAUGCUGACAUAAGUAACGAUAAAGCGGGUGAAAAGCCCGCUCGCCGGAAGACCAAGGGUUCCUGUCCAACGUUAAUCGGGGCAGGGUGAGUCGACCCCUAAGGCGAGGCCGAAAGGCGUAGUCGAUGGGAAACAGGUUAAUAUUCCUGUACUUGGUGUUACUGCGAAGGGGGGACGGAGAAGGCUAUGUUGGCCGGGCGACGGUUGUCCCGGUUUAAGCGUGUAGGCUGGUUUUCCAGGCAAAUCCGGAAAAUCAAGGCUGAGGCGUGAUGACGAGGCACUACGGUGCUGAAGCAACAAAUGCCCUGCUUCCAGGAAAAGCCUCUAAGCAUCAGGUAACAUCAAAUCGUACCCCAAACCGACACAGGUGGUCAGGUAGAGAAUACCAAGGCGCUUGAGAGAACUCGGGUGAAGGAACUAGGCAAAAUGGUGCCGUAACUUCGGGAGAAGGCACGCUGAUAUGUAGGUGAAGUCCCUUGCGGAUGGAGCUGAAAUCAGUCGAAGAUACCAGCUGGCUGCAACUGUUUAUUAAAAACACAGCACUGUGCAAACACGAAAGUGGACGUAUACGGUGUGACGCCUGCCCGGUGCCGGAAGGUUAAUUGAUGGGGUCAGCGCAAGCGAAGCUCUUGAUCGAAGCCCCGGUAAACGGCGGCCGUAACUAUAACGGUCCUAAGGUAGCGAAAUUCCUUGUCGGGUAAGUUCCGACCUGCACGAAUGGCGUAAUGAUGGCCAGGCUGUCUCCACCCGAGACUCAGUGAAAUUGAACUCGCUGUGAAGAUGCAGUGUACCCGCGGCAAGACGGAAAGACCCCGUGAACCUUUACUAUAGCUUGACACUGAACAUUGAGCCUUGAUGUGUAGGAUAGGUGGGAGGCUUAGAAGUGUGGACGCCAGUCUGCAUGGAGCCGACCUUGAAAUACCACCCUUUAAUGUUUGAUGUUCUAACGUGGACCCGUAAUCCGGGUUGCGGACAGUGUCUGGUGGGUAGUUUGACUGGGGCGGUCUCCUCCUAAAGAGUAACGGAGGAGCACGAAGGUUGGCUAAUCCUGGUCGGACAUCAGGAGGUUAGUGCAAUGGCAUAAGCCAGCUUGACUGCGAGCGUGACGGCGCGAGCAGGUGCGAAAGCAGGUCAUAGUGAUCCGGUGGUUCUGAAUGGAAGGGCCAUCGCUCAACGGAUAAAAGGUACUCCGGGGAUAACAGGCUGAUACCGCCCAAGAGUUCAUAUCGACGGCGGUGUUUGGCACCUCGAUGUCGGCUCAUCACAUCCUGGGGCUGAAGUAGGUCCCAAGGGUAUGGCUGUUCGCCAUUUAAAGUGGUACGCGAGCUGGGUUUAGAACGUCGUGAGACAGUUCGGUCCCUAUCUGCCGUGGGCGCUGGAGAACUGAGGGGGGCUGCUCCUAGUACGAGAGGACCGGAGUGGACGCAUCACUGGUGUUCGGGUUGUCAUGCCAAUGGCACUGCCCGGUAGCUAAAUGCGGAAGAGAUAAGUGCUGAAAGCAUCUAAGCACGAAACUUGCCCCGAGAUGAGUUCUCCCUGACCCUUUAAGGGUCCUGAAGGAACGUUGAAGACGACGACGUUGAUAGGCCGGGUGUGUAAGCGCAGCGAUGCGUUGAGCUAACCGGUACUAAUGAACCGUGAGGCUUAACCUU
rnacentral:rRNA from 1 species